UACGUAGGGGGCGAGCGUUGUCCGGAAUUAUUGGGCGUAAAGAGCGUGUAGGCGGUUCGGUAAGUCUGCCGUGAAAUCCUGGGGCUCAACCCCGGGCGUGCGGUGGAUACUGCCGGGCUAGAGGGUGGUAGAGGCGAGUGGAAUUCCCGGUGUAGCGGUGAAAUGCGUAGAUAUCAAGAGGAACACCAGUGGCGAAGGCGAGUCCCUGGACAAACCCUGACACUGAGGCACGAAAGCCAAGGGAGCAAACAGG
rnacentral:rRNA from 1 species